rnacentral:rRNA from 1 species
AGAGUUUGAUCAUGGCUCAGGAUGAACGCUAGCGGGAGGCCUAACACAUGCAAGCCGAGCGGUAGAUUACUUUCGGGUAAUUGAGAGCGGCGUACGGGUGCGGAACACGUGUGCAACCUGCCUUUAUCAGGGGGAUAGCCUUUCGAAAGGAGGAUUAAUACCUCAUAAUAUAUUAUUCGGCAUCGGGUGAUAUUGAAAACUACGGUGGAUAGAGAUGGGCACGCGCAAGAUUAGCUAGUUGGUGAGGUAACGGCUCACCAAGGCGACGAUCUUUAGGGGGCCUGAGAGGGUGAUCCCCCACACUGGUACUGAGACACGGACCAGACUCCUACGGGAGGCAGCAGUGAGGAAUAUUGGACAAUGGGUGGAAGCCUGAUCCAGCCAUCCCGCGUGCAGGAAGACGGCCCUAUGGGUUGUAAACUGCUUUUAUCUGGGGAUAAACCUACUUACGUGUAAGUAGCUGAAGGUACCAGAAGAAUAAGCACCGGCUAACUCCGUGCCAGCAGCCGCGGUAAUACGGAGGGUGCAAGCGUUAUCCGGAUUUAUUGGGUUUAAAGGGUCCGUAGGCGGACUGAUAAGUCAGUGGUGAAAUCCGACAGCUUAACUGUCGAACUGCCAUUGAUACUGUUAGUCUUGAGUAA